GACUGGUAAUGUUACAAACGCAAGAAUACUUGCCACCAAAAGCACAUACGAGCGCGCCAAAGAAUGCCUUCCAGAUGCCCUAGUCACAUCACACCUAGAGAGUGAAGGAUCAGAUGUUGAGAAAAAACGCCGACAAAAGCGAAAGGCAGUGUUUGUUUCGGACAGUGAAAGUGAUGCCGCUGAAGUUCGGCCAUCCUGCUCACUUAAGAAAAAAGGCUUAGUGGCUGCAAGAGGAAGAAAAAUUCUAAGGGCGAUUUCUAAACCACGUGUGACACACAACAUGCACGCAAAACACCUUCCAGGAGUGUCACAACAUGUGGAGAGACUCGCUAAACAUGGUACUGAUCUUCAAGCCAAAGCAAGCACGUCUUGGGCUCAGGACAGUGAUCUUUCUGACAGUGAGGUUGCUGUUUCAUCUG
rnacentral:lncRNA from 1 species